rnacentral:rRNA from 1 species
UGGGGAAUUUUGGACAAUGGGGGAAACCCUGAUCCAGCCAUCCCGCGUGUGCGAUGAAGGCCUUCGGGUUGUAAAGCACUUUUGGCAGGAAAGAAACGUCGCGGGUUAAUACCCCGCGAAACUGACGGUACCUGCAGAAUAAGCACCGGCUAACUACGUGCCAGCAGCCGCGGUAAUACGUAGGGUGCAAGCGUUAAUCGGAAUUACUGGGCGUAAAGCGUGCGCAGGCGGUUCGGAAAGAAAGAUGUGAAAUCCCAGAGCUUAACUUUGGAACUGCAUUUUUAACUACCGGGCUAGAGUGUGUCAGAGGGAGGUGGAACUCCGCGUGUAGCAGUGAAAUGCGUAGAUAUGCGGAGGAACACCGAUGGCGAAGGCAGCCUCCUGGGAUAACACUGACGCUCAUGCACGAAAGCGUGGGGAGCAAACAGGAUUAGAUACCCUGGUAGUCCACGCCCUAAACGAUGUCAACUAGCUGUUGGGGCCUUCGGGCCUUGGUAGCGCAGCUAACGCGUGAAGUUGACCGCCUGGGGAGUACGGUCGCAAGAUUAAAACUCAAAGGAAUUGAC